GUGGGCGGAUUUUCCUGGUCGCGUGUCUCCAGUGUCGCGCUCCAGCUCCCACAAUCCGCGUGCAUCCUCACUUUCUGCCUUCCGCCGUCUUCGAGUCUCUGCCACGUUGUCCAUGUCUGCGCUCCACUGUGAGGCACAUCAUGUCCCUUGUUCCACAUCUAUCAGAGGGGCCCUCAGUCUGGACUGUGAAGUCCCAGAGCACUGCUCAGCUCUGGCUUAUGGUGGUACAGGGGAUUGAACCUGGAACUUUGGAGCCUCAGGUCAACUUUGCAUCUGGAGACCAUUGAAGAAAGUGCCAAGGUCAUGAGUUGGUGAUCGUUCGGGUGCCAUGGAUCAGCAUUUACUGAGAUCUUGCCAUAAGCAAGAUUCUUUUGGUGACACCAGAGGGGCAGGAAGAAGAGUGAGACUAUCACAUGAAGCAUUGUUAGUGCUCCUCUCUGUUGCCUGCUCAGAACAUCAUGGAACAAUUUGUUGAUUCUGCUCAAGAAAUCAGCUGGAACUGGAGAUUGGAGACUUGGCAUUCACUUCAGCUGGAUGAGUCUUGACAACAGUGUGCUUAAAGGCUGUUGUGCAGGGAAGGCCAGCCGCAUGCCCUGUGCCCAUGCUUGCAGUGACUUACCAAGAGCUCUUCUCUUGAAUUUGUAACUAGCUGCUCCCCACUAACACAGUCAAAUAAACUUUACAAACCUA